CAGUAGCCGCGGUAAUACGGAGGGGGCUAGCGUUGUUCGGAAUUACUGGGCGUAAAGCGCGCGUAGGUGGUUCAUUAAGUUGGAUGUGAAAGCCCUGGGCUCAACCUGGGAACUGCAUCCAAAACUGGUGAGCUAGAGUACGGUAGAGGGUAGUGGAAUUUCCUGUGUAGCGGUGAAAUGCGUAGAUAUAGGAAGGAACACCAGUGGCGAAGGCGACUACCUGGACUGAUACUGACACUGAGGUGCGAAAGCGUGGGGAGCAAACAGGAUUAGAUACCCGGGUAGUCCCUGUCUCUUAUAC
rnacentral:rRNA from 1 species